rnacentral:rRNA from 1 species
UGGGGAAUAUUGGACAAUGGGCGAAAGCCUGAUCCAGCCAUGCCGCGUGUGUGAAGAAGGCCUUUUGGUUGUAAAGCACUUUAAGUGGGGAGGAAAAGCUUAUGGUUAAUACCCAUAAGCCCUGACGUUACCCACAGAAUAAGCACCGGCUAACUCUGUGCCAGCAGCCGCGGUAAUACAGAGGGUGCAAGCGUUAAUCGGAAUUACUGGGCGUAAAGCGCGCGUAGGUGGUUAUUUAAGUCAGAUGUGAAAGCCCCGGGCUUAACCUGGGAACUGCAUCUGAUACUGGAUAACUAGAGUAGGUGAGAGGGGAGUAGAAUUCCAGGUGUAGCGGUGAAAUGCGUAGAGAUCUGGAGGAAUACCGAUGGCGAAGGCAGCUCCCUGGCAUCAUACUGACACUGAGGUGCGAAAGCGUGGGUAGCAAACAGGAUUAGAUACCCUGGUAGUCCACGCCGUAAACGAUGUCUACCAGUCGUUGGGUCUUUUAAAGACUUAGUGACGCAGUUAACGCAAUAAGUAGACCGCCUGGGGAAUACGGCCGCAAGGUUA